GAUAAACGCUAGCGGCAGGCUUAACACAUGCAAGUCGAGGGGCAGCAUAGAUUGUAGCAAUACAAUUGGUGGCGACCGGCGCACGGGUGCGUAACGCGUAUGCAACCUACCCGUCACAGGGGGAUAAUCCGGAGAAAUCUGGUCUAAUACCCCAUAACAUAUGGAUCGGCAUCGGUUCAUGUUGAAAUUUUCGGAGGUGACGGAUGGGCAUGCGUAGCAUUAGCUUGGUGGUGGGGUAACGGCUCACCAAGGCGACGAUGCUUAGGGGGACUGAGAGGUUUUCCCCCCACACUGGUACUGAGACACGGACCAGACUCCUACGGGAGCCAGCAGUGAGGAAUAUUGGUCAAUGGGCGCAAGCCUGAACCAGCCAUGCCGCGUGCAGGAUGACGGCUCUAUGAGUUGUAAACUGCUUUUGUACGAGGGUAAAGUGGGUUACGUGUAACCUUUUGGAAGUAUCGUACGAAUAAGGAUCGGCUAACUCCGUGCCAGCAGCCGCCGUAA
rnacentral:rRNA from 1 species